rnacentral:rRNA from 1 species
CGCUAGCUACAGGCUUAACACAUGCAAGUCGAGGGGCAGCAUGGACUUAUCUUGCUAAGGCCGAUGGCGACCGGCGCACGGGUGAGUAACACGUAUCCAACCUGCCGUCUACUCUUGGACAGCCUUCUGAAAGGAAGAUUAAUACAAGAUGGCAUCAUGAGUCCGCAUGUUCACAUGAUUAAAGGUAUUCCGGUAGACGAUGGGGAUGCGUUCCAUUAGAUAGUAGGCGGGGUAACGGCCCACCUAGUCUUCGAUGGAUAGGGGUUCUGAGAGGAAGGUCCCCCACAUUGGAACUGAGACACGGUCCAAACUCCUACGGGAGGCAGCAGUGAGGAAUAUUGGUCAAUGGGCGAGAGCCUGAACCAGCCAAGUAGCGUGAAGGAUGACUGCCCUAUGGGUUGUAAACUUCUUUUAUAAAGGAAUAAAGUCGGGUAUGGAUACCCGUUUGCAUGUACUUUAUGAAUAAGGAUCGGCUAACUCCGUGCCAGCAGCCGCGGUAAUACGGAGGAUCCGAGCGUUAUCCGGAUUUAUUGGGUUUAAAGGGAGCGUAGAUGGAUGUUUAAGUCAGUUGUGAAAGUUUGCGGCUCAACCGUAAAAUUGCAGUUGAUACUGGAUAUUCUUGAGUGCAGUUUGAGGCAGGCGGAAAUUUCGUGGUGUAGCGGUGAAAAUGCUUAGAUAUCACGAAGAACUCCGAUUGCGAAGGCAGCCUGCUAAGCUGCAACUGACAUUGAGGCUCGAAAGUGUGGGUAUCAAACAGGAUUAGAUACCCUGGUAGUCCACACGGUAAACGAUGAAUACUCGCUGUUUGCGAUAUACUGCAAGCGGCCAAGCGAAAGCGUUAAGUAUUCCACCUGGGGAGUACGCCGGCAACGGUGAAACUCAAAGGAAUUGACGGGGGCCCGCACAAGCGGAGGAACAUGUGGUUUAAUUCGAUGAUACGCGAGGAACCUUACCCGGGCUUAAAUUGCAGAUGAAUUACGGUGAAAGCCGUAAGCCGCAAGGCAUCUGUGAAGGUGCUGCAUGGUUGUCGUCAGCUCGUGCCGUGAGGUGUCGGCUUAAGUGCCAUAACGAGCGCAACCCUUGUUGUCAGUUACUAACAGGUUCCGCUGAGGACUCUGACAAGACUGCCAUCGUAAGAUGUGAGGAAGGUGGGGAUGACGUCAAAUCAGCACGGCCCUUACGUCCGGGGCUACACACGUGUUACAAUGGGGGGUACAGAGGGCCGCUACCACGCGAGUGGAUGCCAAUCCCCAAAACCUCUCUCAGUUCGGACUGGAGUCUGCAACCCGACUCCACGAAGCUGGAUUCGCUAGUAAUCGCGCAUCAGCCACGGCGCGGUGAAUACGUUCCCGGGCCUUGUACACACCGCCCGUCAAGCCAUGGGAGCCGGGGGUACCUGAAGUGCGUAACCGCGAGGAGCGCCCUAGGGUAAAACUGGUGACUGGGGC